CUGGCGCCAGCUGUGCCAAAGAUGGCUACCUAUCUACCAAACACUGCGCCCUUUGCAGAUGUGGCACUGUCUAUCAUUGGGAUGAGCUGCCUGAUCAAGGACUACAUUUCCCAGGCUGCCUUGCAUCUGGGUGUGGCCCUGUGACUGUUUCUCACCAAUGGGACAUGAGCAGAAGUGAUGUGUGUUACUUCCUGGUUGAGGCAGGUAAGAGGUGAUUGUGUCCCUCUUUCCCCAUGUGUCCACCAAAUGUGCUGAACGCCAAGGCCUUCAGAGGCUCUUAGAACCAUAGCCUGGAAGGAGCCCAGGUCCCUGAAUCGCCACGUAGAAGAGAGCUGCCUGCCAGCCAGGAACCGUUUCACGAUGGGACCGUUUCACGAGUGAAGAGCAGACUGUUAAUGGAUUAAGUCAUUGAAAUGGAAUGGUAAAGAGGAACCCAUGAUACUUCAUACAGGAAGAAAAGUGGGAGGCCAGGCACAGUGGCUCACGCCUGCAAUCUCAGCACUCUGGAAGGCCAAGGCACUCUGUCACCCAGGAGAGCAGUGGCACAAUCUCGGCUCACUGCAACCUCCACCUCCCAGGUUCAAGCGAUUCUCCUGCCUCAGCUGAGACUACAGGUACCUUCCACCAUGCCUGGCUAAUUUUUGUAUUGUAGAGAUGAGGGUUCACCAUAUUGGUCAGGCUGGUCUCAAACUCCUGGCCUCAGGUGAUCUGCUGGCCUCAGUCUCCCAAAGUGUUGGGAUUACAGACGUGAGCCACUGCACCCAGCCAACCCUUGCUUUUAUUUCCUCCCCCUCCUCCCCCCCUCCCCCCAACUUGAGCCUAGAGGGGACGGGUGUUGCCCUGGGGUAUCCACAGUAGCCUGAGGAAAGAUCACAGUGAGGUCCCAAGGAACUGCAUAGACCUGGGACAGAAAACAUCAGGAUCGAUGCUGGGUGGACACAGCUUGCUCUGUUUUUCCUUGUUCGUAUUGGUAUUUGUCUUAGUCUGCUGUAUGCUGCUACAACAGAAUACUUGAGAACAGAUAAUUUGUAACAAAUGAAUUUAUUUCAUAUGGUUCUGUGGGCUGGAAAGUCCUAGAUCAAGAAACCAGCAUUCAGUGAGCCCUUGACUUAGGCCUCCAUGCUGCCUCAUCACGUAGUGGAAGCGGAGGAGUGAAGCAUGCGUGCGCACAAGAGAAAGAAAGCACAUGCGAGGAGACAGCGAGAAGCUGGAUGCCCUUUCUUAACAAACCCCCUCGUCGAAGAGACAGCAAGAAGCUGGAUUCCCUUUCCUAACAAACCCCCUCGUCGAAGAGACAGCGAGAAGCUGGAUUCCCUUUCUUAACAAACCCCCUCGUCGAAGAGACAGCAAGAAGCUGGAUUCCCUUUCUUAACAAACCCCCUCAUCAAAUGACAACCUUAAUCCACUCAUGACGACAGGGUAUUCAUGACCUGAUCAACUUUUAAAGGUCUCCCCUCUCCAUAUUGCGGCAUUGGGGAUUACAUUUCCAACACUUUGGGGGACACAUUCCAACCAUCGCAAUGUUGUUAUUUAGAACCUGUUUGUCUAUUUUAGAAAAAGCAAAUAUGUGCAUUUUGUACAUCUAUAAAAGAUGUACAAUUAUAGGAUCAAAAAAUUAAGUAGAAACACUCUAAUGGUAGAACUAAGUUUAAUGUUAGGGCCAGGCAUGGUGGCUCAUGCCUGUGAUCCCAGCACUUUGGGAGGCCAAGGUGGGUGGAUCACUUGAGGCCAGGGGUUCAAGACUGUCCUGGCCAACAUGGUGACACCCUGUCUCUACUGAAAAACACAAAAAUGAGCCGGGUGUGGUGGCACACCCCCGUAAUCCCAGCUACUCAGGAGGCUGAGGCAGGAGAACCCCUUGAACCCAGGAGGCAGAGGUUGCAGUGAGCCAAGAUCGCCCCAUUGCACUCCAGCCUGGGUAACAAGAGCGAAACUCCGUCUCAAAAAAUAAUAAUAAAUAACAAUAAUAAUAAUAAUAUUAACUAAGCUUAAAGAUAGAACUAAGUUGGAGAGAAACUCUACUUUCAGUACAAGCAGGUUUAUAUUUUUCAGACCAACCUUCCUACUGAAAGCAACUUUAAAAAGGAGACACAAUAUUUAAAAUCAUCUUGAAAGCAUCAAAGAUCUGAGGAGGUAUGAAAAAGUUGCCUGGCCAGUGAGCCCAGCAUUAGAAGCCACUUCUGCCAUGGACGAGUUUCCCACCUUGAGAAGCUGAGCAGAGCCUAUGAGAGUCUUGAGGACAUCAAGGAACAGCAGUGGGGAAAUGACCCCACACUUGGCUCUCAGAAACCCAAAGGACUGCACUUCUUUUUUUCUGAGAUGGGGUCUCACUCUGUUGCCAAGGCUGGAGUGCAAUGUCAUGAUCGUCAUUCACUGCAACCUCCGCCUCCUGGGUUCAAGGGGUUCUCCUGCCUCAGCCUCCAGAGUAGCUGGAAUUAUAGGCCACCACACCUGCCUUAUUUUUUGUAUGUUUAGUAGAGACGGGGUUUCCAUGUAGACCAGGAUGGUCUUGAACUCCUGACCUCCUGGUCCAUCUGUCUUGGCAUCACCAAUGGCUGGGAUUACAGGCAUCAGCCACAACAUCUGGCCAAGGACUGCACUUUGAAGAGUAAGGGUGAGCCAGAAGCAACUGACCCUUGGAAGUAGUCUACCUUGGCUUCGAACCACGAGGGUAGGUCAGAAAGUCUUAAGCCUUGAAACUGAUUAGGGUGACCUGGGAUUACUGGUGCCUCCACUAGGAAUCCAAGUGUCCCUGGGUUUUCCUCCAGCUAACUAAAGUCCUUACAGCUGGCAUUUACCCCUCCCACCCUGCACUUCCACAUUGGCUGUUGAUGUGUCUGUCCCCUGCCCCCUUGUAGGCUCCUGGGAGGCAAGAGUGUGCCCACUUGAUUCAUCAGCAUCCAGUCCUCUAGUGCUGCCACCUGGUGGACUCUCAGUAAUAUGAGUUAAAUAGAAAUACCACGAUGAUGAACCUAACAAUGGCUAACGUGCUUCCUAAGGGCCAGGGGUUUUCACGUAUUGAUUCAACAACCCCUGGGACAAGGAUAUCGAAUCAGUGUCAGCUGCGGUGGAGCGGGAGGUACCAGGCUCCAGCAAGGGCACGCUUGUACUGCUGUGUGGACGAAAGUCAGCCCCAACGGGACUGAUCCUGGCCUCGCGGUGGACCCGUUUCAGGUUGAGGAAACUAGAGAGCUCCUUCAGGCCUCACUACCUAGCGACUGCACAGAGGUUUGCUGAGGGAGUGCAGGGGCCGGCUGAGGUGGGCGUCGACUGAGGUGGGCGUCGACACCAUCCACCUGGGGGGUGGUCUGGGAGACGCUGCUCUCCUGGGGUCCCAGCUGGUGGACUGGGCCAGCUCCUUUGGGCUUUGACUGGUGAUGCCUGUGGUGAAGGCACUGAAGUCUUUAUUCCCAAAUUCUGACGUUCCCAGGCACAUUCAUGGGGGCAGGACUGAUUCUCACAGAAGAUGCCAGGGCUGGGUCUCUUAGCAAAAUGUAGUGAUUGGAUGACCGUGUGUCCCUAAGGAUAUUUUGUCUACCAGCUUUCCUACCUGUCUGCCCUCUGUCCUUUCCUCAAGAAACAUGUCCUGGCUGGACGCAGCGGCUGGCGCCUGUAAUCCCAGCACUUUGGGAGGCCGAGGCAGGUGAAUCAUGAGGUCAGGAGAUCGAGACCAUCCUGGCUAACACAGUGAAACCCCAUCUCUGCUAGAACUACAAAAAUUAACUGGGUGUGGUGGCGUGCACCUAUAAUCCCAGCUACUCAGGAGGCUGAGGCAAGAGAAUCGCUUGAACCCGGGAGGCAGAGGUUGUAAUGAGCUGAGAUCGUGCCACUGCACUCCAGCCUGGGCAACAGAGUGAGACUCCACCUCAAUAAUAAUAACUAAGCUUAAUGUUAGGACUAAGUUGGAGAGAAACUCUACUUUCAAUAGAAGAAGGUUUAUAUUAUUCAGACCAAUCUUCCUACUUAAAGCAACUUUAGAAACGAGCCACAAUAUUUAAAAUCAUCUUGAAAGGAUUGAAGCCCUAAGGAUAUAUGAAAAAAUUGCCUGACCAGUGAGCCCAGCAUUGGAAGCCACUUCUGCCAUGGAUGAGUUUUCCAGCCUUGAGAAGCUGAGCAGAGCCUAUGCGAGUCUUGAGGACAUCAAGGAACAGCAGUGGGGAAAUGACCCCACACUUGGCUCUGGGAAACCCAAAGGACUGCAGUUUUUGCUUGUUUGUUUUUUCUGAGAUGGGGGUCUCACUCUCUCUCACAUGCUGGAGUGCAAUGGCAUGAUCUUCCCUCACUUCAACCUCCACCUUUUGGGGUCAAACAAUUCUCCUGCCUCAGCCUCCAGAGUAGCUGGAAUUACAGGUGCGUGCCACCACACCUGGCUAAUUAUUUGUAUUUUUAGUAGAGACGGGGUUUCCAUGUUCACCAGGAUGGUCUUGAACUCCUGACCUCAUGAUCCAUCUGUCUCGCCAUCACAAACGGCUAGGUGUUAGCUACCACAUCCGGCCAAGGACUGCACUUUGAAGAGUAAGGGCGAACCAGAAGCAAACUGACCCUUGGAAGUAGUCUAUCCUGGCUUCGAACCACCAGGGUAGGUCAGAAAGUCUUAAACCUUGAAAUUGAUUAGGGUGACCUGGGAUUACUGGUGCCUCCACUAGUAAUCCAAGUGUCCCUGGGUUUUCCUCCAGCUAACUAAAGUCCCUACAGCUGGCAUUUGCCCCUCCCACCUGCACUUCCACAUUGGCUGUUGAUGUGUCUGUCCCCUGCCCCCUUGUAGGCUCCUGGGAGGCAAGAGUGUGCCCACUUGAUUCAUCAGCAUCCAGUCCUCUAGUGCUGCCACCUGGUGGACUCUCAGUAAUAUGAGUUAAAUAGAAAUACCACGAUGAUGAACCUAACAAUGGCUAACGUGCUUCCUAAGGCCCCGGGGUUUUCACGUAUUGAUUCAACAACCCCUGAGACAAGGUGAUAGAAGUAGCGUCAGCUGUGGUGGGGCAAGAGGUUCCGGGCGCCAGCAAGGGCAGGCUUGUACUGCUGUUGGGCGAAUGUCAGUCCGGUCGGGAUGAGCUUGGCUCCGCAGUGGACCCGUUUGAGGUUGAAACAACUAGAGAGUUCCUUCAGGCCUCCCUACCUAGGGAUUAUGCAGAGGUUUGCUAAGGGAGCCCAGGGGGUGGCUGGGUGGGGUGGGCGUUGAGACAGUCCACCCGGGGGGUGGUCUGGGGGAGGCUGCUUUCCUGGGGUCCCAGCUGGUGGAAGGGGCCAGCUUUUCUGGGCUUUGACUGGUGCUGCCUGUGGUGGAGGCACUGAGGUCUUUAUUCCCAAAUUCUGACGUUCCCAGGCACCUUCAUGGGGGCAGGACUGAUUCUCACAGCAGAUGCCAGGGCUGGGUCUCUUAGCAAAAUGUAGUGAUUGGAUGACGGUGUGUCCCUAAGGAUAUUUCCUCUACCAGCUUUCCUACCUGUCUGCCCUCUGUCCUUUCCUCAAGAAACAUGUCCUGGCCGGAUGCAGUGGCUGGCGCCUAUAAUCCCAGCACUUUGGGAGGCCGAGGCCGGUGAAUCAUGAGGUCAGGAGAUCGAGACUAUCCUGGCUAACACAGUGAAACCCAUCUCUGCUAGAACUACAAAAAUUAACCGGGUGUGGUGGCGUGCACUGUAAUCCCAGCUACUCAGGAGGCUGAGGCAGGAGAAUCAUUUGAACCUGGGCAGCAGAGGUGGUAGUGAGCUGAGAUCGUGCCACUGCACUCCAGCCUGGGCAACAGAGUGAGACUCCACCUCAAUAAUAAUAACUAAGCUUAAUGUUAGGACUAAGUUGGAGAGAAACUCUACUUUCAAUAGAAGAAGGUUUAUAUUAUUCAGACCAAUCUUCCUACUUAAAGCAACUUUAGAAACGAGCCACAAUAUUUAAAAUCAUCUUGAAAGGAUCAAAGCCCUAAGGAGAUAUGAAAAAAUUGCCUGACCAGUGAGCCCAGCAUUGGUAGCCACUUCUGCCAUGGACGAGUUUUCCAACCUUGAGAAGCUGAGCAGAGCCUAUGAGAGUCUUGAGGACAUCAAGGAACAGCAGUGGGGAAAUGACCCCACACUUGGCUCUGGGAAACCCAAAGGACUGCAGUUUUUGCUUGUUUGUUUUUUCUGAGAUGGGGGUCUCAUUCUCUCGCACAUGCUGGAGUGCAAUGGCAUGAUCUUCCCUCACUUCAACCUCCACCUUUUGGGGUCAAACAAUUCUCCUGCCUCAGCCUCCAGAGUAGCUGGAAUUACAGGUGCGUGCCACCACACCUGGCUAAUUAUUUGUAUUUUUAGUAGAGACGGGGUUUCCAUGUUCACCAGGAUGGUCUUGAACUCCUGACCUCAUGAUCCAUCUGUCUCGCCAUCACAAACGGCUAGGUGUUAGCUACCACAUCCGGCCAAGGACUGCACUUUGAAGAGUAAGGGCGAACCAGAAGCAAACUGACCCUUGGAAGUAGUCUAUCCUGGCUUCGAACCACCAGGGUAGGUCAGAAAGUCUUAAACCUUGAAAUUGAUUAGGGUGACCUGGGAUUACUGGUGCCUCCACUAGUAAUCCAAGUGUCCCUGGGUUUUCCUCCAGCUAACUAAAGUCCCUACAGCUGGCAUUUGCCCCCUCCCACCUGCACUUCCACAUUGGCUGUUGAUGUGUCUGUCCCCUGCCCCCUUGUAGGCUCCUGGGAGGCAAGA